UCCAGACUCCUACGGGAGGCAGCAGUGGGGAAUAUUGCACAAUGGGGGAAACCCUGAUGCAGCGACGCCGCGUGAGCGAAGAAGUAUUUCGGUAUGUAAAGCUCUAUCAGCAGGGAAUAGAAAAGAAGGUACCUGAAAAAGAAGCCCCGGCUAACUACGUGCCAGCAGCCGCGGUAAUACGUAGGGGGCAAGCGUUAUCCGGAUUUACUGGGUGUAAAGGGGGCGCAGACGGCAGCGCAAGCCAGGAGUGAAAGCCCGGGGCCCAACCCCGGGACUGCGCUUGGAACUGCGCGGCUGGAGUGCAGGAGGGGCAGGCGGAAUUCCUGGUGUAGCGGUGAAAUGCGUAGAUAUCAGGAGGAACACCGGUGGCGAAGGCGGCCUGCAGGACUGCGACUGACGUUGAGGCCCGAAAGCGUGGGGAGCAAACAGGAUUAGAUACCCGAGUAUA
rnacentral:rRNA from 1 species